CUCGCCAGGGUACUACAAGCUCCAGCUUAAAACCCAAAGGACUUGGCGGUGCUUUAGACCCCCCUAGAGGAGCCUGUUCUAGAAUCGAUAACCCCCGAUCCACCUCACCCCCUCUUGCCCAUCCCGCCUAUAUACCACCGUCGUCAGCUUACCCUGUGAAGGUUUGAUAGUAAGCAAGGUUGGCAAAACCCAAAACGUCAGGUCAAGGUGUAGCGAAUGAGGGGGAAAGAAAUGGGCUACAUUUACUGUCCCAGUAAACACGGACCUUGCUCUGAAAAGAGCAGCUGAAGGAGGAUUUAGCAGUAAGGGGAGAACAGAGUGCCCCCCUGAAAACGGCCCUGAAGCACGCACACACCGCCCGUCACUCUCCCCCCGAGGUUACCCAAACAUAAGUAAUAACAACCCACCACACAUGGGGGAGGCAAGUCGUAACAUGGUAAGCGUACCGGAAGGUGCGCUUGGAAGAACC
rnacentral:rRNA from 1 species